GGCUGGGCCCCGUGCAGUAGUGUUUAUAACCAGUUACAGAUUUCUUUGUUUCUUCUCCACUAUCACUGUGUCACUUGACUAGCCUUAA
rnacentral:Y_RNA from 1 species